GACAGAGGUGCCGAGCGUUAGGCGGAAUCACUGGGCUUAAAGCGUGUGUAGGCGGCCCGUUAAGUGCCUCGUGAAAUCCCCCGGCUCAACCGGGGAACUGCCGGGUAUACUGGCGGGCUUGGGUCGCUCAGGGGCAGACGGAACAGGCGGUGGAGCGGUGAAAUGCGUAGAUAUGCGGAGGAACACCGAUGGCGAAGGCAAUCCCCUGGGCCUGCACUGACGCUCAUGCACGAAAGCGUGGGGAGCAAACAGG
rnacentral:rRNA from 1 species